rnacentral:rRNA from 1 species
UACGUAGGGUGCGAGCGUUAUCCGGAAUUAUUGGGCGUAAAGCGAUCACAGGUGGCCAAGUAGGUCCGGUGUUAAAUACCCACGGCUUAACCGGGGAACUGCGUCCGAUACUGGAUGGCUAGAGUUCGGGAGAGGGAUGCGGAAUUCCAGGUGUAGCGGUGAAAUGCGUAGAUAUCUGGAGGAACACCGGUGGCGAAGGCGGCAUCCUGGACCGACACUGACGCUGAGGAGCGAAAGCCAGGGGAGCAAACGGG